rnacentral:rRNA from 1 species
CCUACGGGAGGCAGCAGUGAGGAAUAUUGGUCAAUGGGCGCGAGCCUGAACCAGACAAGUAGCGUGAAGGAUGACUGCCCUGCGGGUUGUACACUUCUUUUAUAAAGGCAUAAAGUGAGGCACGUGUGCCUUUUUGUAUGUACUUUAUGAAUAAGGAUCGGCUAACUCCGUGCCAGCCGCCUCGGUAAUACGGAGGAUCCGAGCGUUAUCCGGAUUUAUUUGGUUUAUCGGGAGCGUAGAUGGGUUGUUAAGUCAGUUGUGAAAGUUUGCGGCUCAACCGUAAAAUUGCAAUUGAUACUGGCAGCCUUGAGUACAGUUGAGGUAGGCGGAAUUCGUGGUGUAGCGGUGAAAUGCUUAGAUAUCACGAAGAACUCCGAUUGCGAAGGCAGCUUACUAAACUGCCACUGACAUUGAUGCUCGAAAGUGUGGGUAUCAAACAGGAUUAGAUACCCGGGUAGUC